rnacentral:rRNA from 1 species
GACGUAGGGCGCGAGCGUUGUCCGGAUUUAUUGGGCGUAAAGAGCUCGUAGGCGGUUUGUCGCGUCUGCUGUGAAAACCCGAGGCUCAACCUCGGGCCUGCAGUGGGUACGGGCAGACUAGAGUGCGGUAGGGGAGAUUGGAAUUCCUGGUGUAGCGGUGGAAUGCGCAGAUAUCAGGAGGAACACCAAUGGCGAAGGCAGAUCUCUGGGCCGUAAACUGACGCUGAGGAGCGAAAGCAUGGGGAGCGAACAGG